GGAACACAGAGCCCAUGGCUUGUGUGACUUAGGCACAGGUCAAGGCUUCACAAGGCACCACCAAACAGGAUCCAGAGAGAAAAGCCACUCUGGGCUUCAUGUCAUGUCACAGAAGAAAAGGACCCAGUCUUGUAAAAGGCACCAGCACACCAUGGGAUUACCUCCCUCAUGUUCCAUUUCAAGCUUUUCCUGAUUGCUGGGACACUGCAGUGGA